rnacentral:rRNA from 1 species
AACGAACGCUGGCGGCAGGCCUAACACAUGCAAGUCGAGCGAGGACUUCGGUUCUAGCGGCGGACGGGUGAGUAACGCGUGGGAAUGUGCCCUUCUCUACGGAAUAGCCCUGGGAAACUGGGAGUAAUACCGUAUACGCCCUAUUGGGGAAAGAUUUAUCGGAGAAGGAUCAGCCCGCGUUGGAUUAGGUAGUUGGUGGGGUAAUGGCCUACCAAGCCGACGAUCCAUAGCUGGUUUGAGAGGAUGAUCAGCCACACUGGGACUGAGACACGGCCCAGACUCCUACGGGAGGCAGCAGUGGGGAUUCUUAGAAAAGGGGGGAACCCUUGAUCAAGCCAGGCCGGGGGAGUAAGGAGGGCUUUAGGGUUGAAACGCUCUUUCGGCGGGGAAAAAAAGGAGGGUCCCAGAAAAAAAACCCCGGGCUACCCCCGGC